AUAGGGCCUGCCCAUCUGCAAGAGGAUCCCUCCUCCUUCCUCAAUUUGCCAUCACAGUAGCUGGAAAAUUAAUAUCAGAUAUUUUUGUAUUGAUUCCAUUAGGCAGCACUCAUUUCAGCAGAGCACCUUUUCACAUACAGCUUCACUUGGAAAAAGAGAAUUCAUUAUAAACUAAAAGAAAGAGCUUCCUUUCUGUAUGUCUGAAUGGGAUGUGACGGCAGGUGGUAAGGGCAAGCAUCCUGGAGGAGCCGCAUCCAUCACUGGAUCCCAGCAUAACAGUCAAGAAAUCAUGUCACAGAGCAAGGCGAAUGGAGUACACGUUGCAGUGAUUUCAUGGGGUUACAUUUCCCAUCAGAAUAUAAUUUUCCAGAAAAAAAUAAAUUUUAAUAAUCUGUCUUAGGCAGUCUAUUUUUAAUUAGACAAUCUAAAUAAAUAGAUAUCGACAUUCAGAAGGCUAAGGAAAAAAGAAAUGGCCCCACUGUGAAGCAGUGUAACACAGAGCUUGAUAGUUCCGAGGAAGAAUAAAAUCUAUUAAAAAGUUUUGUAAAUGUAGAGGAGGGAGCACUCAUUUUAUGUCUUUGUUGUGAAGAAAAAAACCAUCACUAUUCUGACAGAGGACAAAAAGCCACUGAGAUGGCGGCAGAAGAACUCACAGAGAUUUAUUAUUUAAAUUUAAAUUAAAAAAUAUAUGAGAGUAAAGCAAUUACUGAUUCCCUAACACAACCCAUUCUAGAAGGACAUCAGACCUCUGUAACUUCUGGUUGUGUUUAUAUAUAACUAACCACAGCUGCUAGGAUUCAGGGAAAUAAUCGAGAAGGGACCUCGCUGUGAAGCUUGCUACAUGUUCAUAAGCUCAGCUUGCCCUGGAGUCUUCCAGUUAAAAGACCUCUGGAUGAUAGGAGGGUGAUAAAGAGAGAGCCUUCCUAGAAGAGCCACUCCAGUGGUGAGGAGACACACACACAUGCAGGAGAGAUACACACUUGCCUUCCUAAUUGAAAAGACAGUUUCAUCGAGGCCUUAUGCAUCGCUCCAGAUCUCAGGAAACUUUCAGUAAAUAGAACACAACCAUAGGAACAUUUGAGUCUCAAGUGAGCACCAUUUCUCCUCAGGAGAAAAAGAGGCAUUUGAAAAGCUUGAUCCAUUUAAUAUUUGUGUUUGAUUCUGGCUCAUGUUACCAAAGCCAUUGUGUAAAGCUGGGUUUGUAAUUUAUACUUCUAUUAUGUUCUUCUUUACCUGUAAAAUGGGAAUACGACCUUCUUUUACCUUUACUUCUGUUACAAGGUCCUUGAGUGGAAGACUGUCUCUUUCUCUCUCUGUAUAUUUACACACAAAGUAAAAAGCAAAACAGCUUUGCAUGUCUAAGCUCAUUCGUAGCACAGAUAAUGUUUGCUCUUUUACUGUUCUAUUUAAAAAAAUAGAGUCAACAGUUAGAAACUGCAUCUCAGAGAUAUUAUCUGUCAUCCAUGACUUGGAUAUUAUGUAUUUAAAUAAAUAUCAAAUUAUUUGAAG
rnacentral:lncRNA from 7 species